AAAGCACUUUCAGUCGUGAGGAAGGUAGUGUAGUUAAUAGCUGCAGUAUUUGACGUUAGCGACAGAAGAAGCACCGGCUAACUCCGUGCCAGCAGCCGCGGUAAUACGGAGGGUGCGAGCGUUAAUCGGAAUUACUGGGCGUAAAGCGCAUGCAGGUGGUUUGUUAAGUCAGAUGUGAAAGACCCGGGGCGUCAACCUCGGAAUAGCAUUUGAAACUGGCAGACUAGAGUACUGUAGGAGGGGGGUAGGAAUUUCAGGUGUAGCGGUGAAAUGCGUAGAGAUCUGAAGGAAUACCGGUGGCGAAGGCGGCCCCCUCGGACAGAUACUGACACUCAGAUGCGAAAGCGUGGGGAGCAAACAGGAUUAGAUACCCUGGUAG
rnacentral:rRNA from 1 species